GCCCUUAAGAGUUAAAGCCUCUCCAAUCACCGUCCAUUUCAGUAAGAAAAUCACAAUAAGAAACCGUGCAUGAUGCAACAUACAGGUGAUUCACACCGUACCUGAAGCAGAAACAAACAGAAAUUCCAAACACAAAUUUUCACAGAAGAGGAAGCAAAAGCUCUCACAAUUCGAUCAUCAUCAAUCAACAAUGUUCUCUAGAUUCUUCCAGAAAUCUCCACCACCACCACAACAACGUCCACAGCCACAGAACGUGGUGGAAGGUAGUUUAUCGCCGGCGAAAUUGGAUCCGCAAGUUGUGUUUCACUAUGGAGUUCCAUCUACUGCUUCCAUUCUUGCGUUUGAUCGGGUUCAGCGUCUGUUAGCGGUUGGAACUAGUGAUGGCAGGAUAAAGGUGUUUGGUGAUAACAAUAUUGAAGGAAUAUUGACCCCUCCUAAGCAAGCAUCUCUCAAGAAUUUAGAGUUCUUGCAAAAUCAAGGUUUUCUUGUUUGCGUCACGAGUGGUAAUGAAAUACAGGUAUGGGAUUUGAAAAACAGGCAAAUUGCUUCUGCCUUGCAGUGGGAAUCCAUCAUAACUGCUUUCUCUGUUAUUUACGGCACCAGUUACAUGUAUACUGGAAGUGAGUAUGGGAUGGUGUAUGUGUUGAAGUUUGAUUCUGAAGACAGAAAAAUUAAUAUAUUACCUUAUUAUGUUCCCACGAAUGCUAUAUCAGAAGCAGUUGGAAUGUCACUUGAUAAUGUUUCAGUUGUCAGAGUUCUCCAUCAACCUUGUUCUGAUGGAAAAAGACUACUGAUCGCAUAUGAUACUGGCGUGAUGGUACUCUGGGAUGCUUCUGAAGAUCGAGUUGUUCUCAUCAGAGGCAACAAGGACAUUGAAUUGAAAAGAAUAAAAAUUACUAGUCUUCCAAAUGAUCCAAAGAAUGAAGAUUCUGAUGAUAGAUUAGACGAUGAAGAAGAGAAGGAGAUAAGCUCUGUUUCUUGGGCAUCAAAUGAUGGAUCAAUUGUUGCUGUUGGUUAUGUAGAUGGUGAUAUAAUGUUUUGGGAUUUGUCAACUGCCAACUCCCCGCCAAAUCAACAAGCUGAAAAAGUGCCCAAUAAUGUUGUCAAGCUUCAAUUAUCAUCAGCAGAUAGAAGACUCCCUAUUAUUGUCCUACAUUGGUGUGCCAAUAAAUCUUUGAAUAAUAGGGGUGAGCUUUUUGUCUAUGGUGGAGGCGAAAUGGGAUCCGAAGAAGUAUUGACAGUUUUGAGCAUUGAUUGGUCUUGUGGGAUAGAAAGUCUUAAGUGCACUGACCGCAUUGAUAUUUCACUUCAUGGUUCUUUUGCCGAUAUGGUUUUGUUAUCUAGUGAUUGCCAUACAGAGGGAGCCUAUGAUAUGCUGUUUGUAUUGACAAAUCCUGGACAGCUGGAUCUUUAUGACUGUGAUUCUUUGAUGUCUCGGCAAGAAAAGAAGACUUCUUCUCCCACAAUGAAGUAUCCCAUCAUCAUACCUACUCUUGAACCGCAGAUGACAACAGCAAGGCUUGAUAUGGCAUGCCAAGAUGUGAACUCAUUCAAGAAGCUGUCUGAGUUUCUCAUAGCAGCAAAGCAGAAUUCAGUACAAAAUCAGACAAAUAUGGGUACAAAGUGGCCUUUGACUGGUGGUGUUCCAAGUAAUCUUUUCAAAGAAGACCAUCCUAUCAUUCAAAUAUACAUAGCAGGUUACCAAGAUGGAUCUGUUAGGAUAUGGGAUGCCACAUAUCCUACUUUGUCACUUGUUUACAACAUCAUAUCUGAGGUGAAUGAUGUCAAAAUUGGCGGUGCUAGUGCACCGGUUUCAGCAUUGGAUUUUUGCUCUGAUACUCUACGUCUAGCAGUUGGCAAUGAAAGUGGUGUUGUCCGUCUGUAUGGGUUAAUAUGGAAUUCAGAUGACAUGACUUUGAACUUCGUGACAGAUAAUGGAACAGAAGUUCAUAAUACGAAUCAUGAGGAUGGACCUCAUUGCAAAACAGUGUUUUCCCUUCAAAAUUCUUCUGUGUGCGGCCUACAGUUUGGAAACCUUGGAGGGAAGCUUGCUGUUGGAUAUGAAAAUGGGCAGGUUGCUAUGCUUGAUAUCAGUACAUCAUCAGUUUUGUUUAUUACAAAUACCGGAUCUAACCCAUCUUCAACAGUUGUUUCUCUGAAUGCAAAAUUUUCAGACAGUUGUAGCUUGAACAUUCCACAGGAAUCUGAAUCUGAUAUUUCUGACAAUUCUGGAAAGGGGCUAGUCUUUGUAAUGACAAGGGAUGCACACUUUUCUGCGGUAGAUACUGCAACAGGGAAUAUGGUUUGCAGUAGGACAAUGGGCCCAAAAGUAAAGUCAAAUGUAAUUUCAAUGCACAUCACAGAUUCUGCUUCUGAACUAUCUGCUGAAAAACUUCCAUCCAACUCACCUCAGGAAAGUGAUUCUGAAAUUCAAGCUGACGUUCAAUCUGAAAAUGCAGAAGUUGAAGUUGAAACUGCUACUACCGCAGAGAAUUCAUAUUUAGGGCAGAUAGUAUCAAACUCACUCAUCUUACUUUGUUAUGAGAAUGAAUUGAGCUUACACUCCCUAAUUUCAGUGAUUGAGGGUAGCAGUAAGUACAUACAGAAGGUGACCCUUGUACAACGCUGCUGCUGGACUACAACCUUUAAGAAGGAUGACAAAGAACGUGUUCUAGUUCUUUAUCAAACUGGGGACAUUGAAUUAAGGUCCUUACCAACUCUGGAAGUGUUGGGAGAAAGCUCUUUAAUGUCAAUCCUAAGAUGGAACUUCAAGACCAACAUGGAGAAGACAAUUUGUUCUUCAUCAAAUGGGCAAAUAAUUCUGGUCAAUGGAAAUGAAGCUGCUUCCAUAUUACUGUUCUUUGGUGAAAAUGAGUUCUGGAUUCCAGAGUCUUUUCCUUGUCUUCAUGAUGAAGUCGUUGCAGCUGCAGUAGAUGUUACUGCUAUCCCAUCUCCGAACCAACAUGAAAGACAGGGACCACCUUCUAUCUUCCUAAAUGCUGCCAAGAUCUUUAAAGUAGGGAAAGCGAAUCAGAAUGCAAAUCAAGCUGGUCACGAUAAUUAUUUGGAAACUUUGGAACAACUAUUCUCCAAUCCUCCUUUCUUAAAGCCUUCCUUAGGCACAGAAGAUAAGCAAGAUGCUUUUGAUUUUGACAUAGAUGAAAUUCAUAUUGAUGAAAAAGUCGUCGUUUCAUCUCCUAAAAAAAGCAAUAUUGAUAAGAGAGAUAAAGGGAAAGAAACAGAAAGGCAGAAAUUAUUCGAGGAUGCAAGCACUGACUCGAAACCGAGAGUUAGAACGGCUGAAGAAAUUAAGGCUAAAUACAAAAGGACGGGGGAUGCCUCGGCAGCAGCUGCACUUGCAAAAGAUAAGCUAUUAGAGCGGCAGGAAAAACUCCAGCUGCUCAACGAACGUACUGAAGAGUUGCAAAAUGGGGCACAGGACUUUGCAUCCAUGGCAACUGAACUCGCUAAAAGAAUGGAAAAUCGUAAAUGGUGGCAGUUAUGACAACGUUGCAUGAUUGUUGUCCUGCUAUGCUCCUUUUGAAGUUCUGCACUAGUGAACUGCCUCACUUGCUUCAAAAGAAUAUACUUCCACCUUAUAGGAAAUAGACUAAUCUCAUGGAAUAGCGUAGAUGCUAAACUGGAGAUCACUCUCGAGUGUUUUCUCAAAAUGCAUGAACCUAAGAAUCAAAUCCACGACCACAAACUUGAGACCUUUUCACUUCAACAGGUAGUGAAGAUAUUUUCAUUUUAAAUGGUAAGAGGGAAGUGUUCUCCGCACUUGAAAAUUGAUCUGUUUUAACUAUUAAUCUAUUCCAUUGCGUCAUUUGCCAGGAAGCACUAGGUUUUUAAAGACCCUGCUGUUUCUAAAGUGUAAGAUGUAACUAAUCAAAGGGGAAUAUUACUAUUAACUUUUCUUUCAAAAAAAAAAAACUAAUAACUUUUCCUUAAAUAUAUUAAAGGCAAGUUCACAUGCA